rnacentral:rRNA from 1 species
UACAGAGGGUGCGAGCGUUAAUCGGAAUUACUGGGCGUAAAGCGCACGUAGGCGGCUUGGUAUGUCGGGUGUGAAAUCCCCGGGCUCAACCUGGGAACUGCAUCCGAAACUGCCUUGCUAGAGUAUGGGAGAGGGAAGUGGAAUUUCCGGUGUAGCGGUGAAAUGCGUAGAUAUCGGAAGGAACAUCAGUGGCGAAGGCGACUUCCUGGACCAAUACUGACGCUCAGGUGCGAAAGCGUGGUGAGCAAACAGG